rnacentral:rRNA from 1 species
CACGUGGGCAACCUGCCCUCAGCUCUGGGAUAACUCCAAGAAAUUGGGGCUAAUACCGGAUAUGACCGCUGACCGCAUGGUCUGGUGGUGGAAAGAUUUAUCGGCUGGGGAUGGGCCCGCGGCCUAUCAGCUUGUUGGUGGGGUAGUGGCCUACCAAGGCGACGACGGGUAGCCGGCCUGAGAGGGUGACCGGCCACACUGGGACUGAGACACGGCCCAGACUCCUACGGGAGGCAGCAGUGGGGAAUAUUGCGCAAUGGGCGAAAGCCUGACGCAGCGACGCCGCGUGGGGGAUGACGG